AGUAAAGAAUAGUCUUGGCCAAAAAAAACCCAAAGAUGAUGCAAGAAUAACAACAUUAAAGGACAAGAUGCAAGAAAUACAUUUAGACAUAGAGAGAAACCCAAAGAAGUACAAAGAAUCGACAAUCAGAAUUAUGAGAAAUCUCAAAAGAAUGGAAAAAGCAAGCAAGGAAAUCAGGAGAGGUAAAUGAUCAUAUUUAUUGAAUAUUUUUGUUUAAUAGUCAUAAAUAUCAAUUUUAGCAAUACUAUUACUUUUGAAGGUGAAGCAAAAAAGAAAGAAAAAGGGCCAGUAGAAGAGAAAACUGUGA